GCCUUCGUGGUGUAAUUGUCAGCACAUUGAGCCGGUAUUUCAGAGGUCCGCGGUUCGAUUCCCGGCGAAGGCG
rfam:Stegodyphus mimosarum contig56069, whole genome shotgun sequence.